CCUACGGGAGGCAGCAGUGAGGAAUAUUGGACAAUGGCCGGAAGGCUGAUCCGGCCAUGCCGCGUGCGGGAAGACGGCCCUAUGGGUUGUAAACCGCUUUUGUUGGGGAGCAAUAAGGGUCACGUGUGAUCCGAUGAAAGUACCCAGCGAAUAAGCAUCGGCUAACUCCGUGCCAGCAGCCGCGGUAAUA
rnacentral:rRNA from 1 species